rnacentral:rRNA from 1 species
AUGCACGCUGGCGGCGUGCCUAAUACAUGCAAGUCGAGCGAACAGACGAGGAGCUUGCUCCUCUGACGUUAGCGGCGGACGGGUGAGUAACACGUGGAUAACCUACCUAUAAGACUGGGAUAACUUCGGGAAACCGGAGCUAAUACCGGAUAAUAUAUUGAACCGCAUGGUUCAAUAGUGAAAGACGGUUUUGCUGUCACUUAUAGAUGGAUCCGCGCCGCAUUAGCUAGUUGGUAAGGUAACGGCUUACCAAGGCAACGAUGCGUAGCCGACCUGAGAGGGUGAUCGGCCACACUGAACUGAGACACGGUCCAGACUCCUACGGGAGGCAGCAGUAGGGAAUCUUCCGCAAUGGGCGAAAGCCUGACGGAGCAACGCCGCGUGAGUGAUGAAGGUCUUCGGAUCGUAAAACUCUGUUAUUAGGGAAGAACAAAUGUGUAAGUAACUAUGCACGUCUUGACGGUACCUAAUCAGAAAGCCACGGCUAACUACGUG